GAUGAACGCUGGCGGCGUGCCUAAUACAUGCAAGUCGAGCGAACAGACGAGGAGCUUGCUCCUCUGACGUUAGCGGCGGACGGGUGAGUAACACGUGGAUAACCUACCUAUAAGACUGGGAUAACUUCGGGAAACCGGAGCUAAUACCGGAUAAUAUAUUGAACCGCAUGGUUCAAUAGUGAAAGACGGUUUUGCUGUCACUUAUAGAUGGAUCCGCGCUGCAUUAGCUAGUUGGUAAGGUAACGGCUUACCAAGGCAACGAUGCGUAGCCGACCUGAGAGGGUGAUCGGCCACACUGGAACUGAGACACGGUCCAGACUCCUACGGGAGGCAGCAGUAGGGAAUCUUCCGCAAAGGGCGAAAGCUUGACGGAGCAACGCCGCGUGAGUGAUGAAGGUCUUCGGAUCGUAAAACUCUGUUAUUAGGGAAGAACAAAUGUGUAAGUAACUAUGCACGUCUUGACGGUACCUAAUCAGAAAGCCACGGCUAACUACGUG
rnacentral:rRNA from 1 species